rnacentral:rRNA from 1 species
AGAGCGAACGCUGGCGGCAGGCCUAACACAUGCAAGUCGAACGCCCCUUCGGGGGAGUGGCGGACGGGUGAGUAACGCGUGGGAAUGUGCCCUUUGGUACGGAACAACUGAGGGAAACUUCAGCUAAUACCGUAUGUGCCCUUCGGGGGAAAGAUUUAUCGCCAUUGGAGCAGCCCGCGUUGGAUUAGGUAGUUGGUGGGGUAAAGGCCUACCAAGCCUACGAUCCAUAGCUGGUCUGAGAGGAUGAUCAGCCACACUGGGACUGAGACACGGCCCAGACUCCUACGGGAGGCAGCAGUGGGGAAUCUUGCGCAGUGGGCGAAAGCCUGACGCAGCCAUGCCGCGUGUAUGAUGAAGGUCUUAGGAUUGUAAAAUACUUUCACCGGGGAAGAUAAUGACGGUACCCGGAGAAGAAGCCCCGGCUAACUUCGUGCCAGCAGCCGC